rnacentral:rRNA from 1 species
AACGAACGCUGGCGGCAGGCCUAACACAUGCAAGUCGAGCGAGACCUUCGGGUCUAGCGGCGGACGGGUUAGUAACGCGUGGGAACGUGCCCUUCUCUGCGGAAUAGCCACUGGAAACGGUGAGUAAUACCGCAUACGCCCUUCGGGGGAAAGAUUUAUCGGAGAAGGAUCGGCCCGCGUUAGAUUAGAUAGUUGGUGGGUAACGGCCUACCAAGUCUACGAUCUAUAGCUGGUUUUAGAGGAUGAUCAGCAACACUGGGACUGAGACACGGCCCAGACUCCUACGGGAGGCAGCAGUGGGGAAUCUUAGACAAUGGGCGCAAGCCUGAUCUAGCCAUGCCGCGUGUGUGAUGAAGGUCUUAGGAUCGUAAAGCACUUUCGCCAGGGAUGAUAAUGACGGUACCUGGUAAAGAAACCCCGGCUAACUCCGUG